rnacentral:rRNA from 1 species
GACGAACGCUGGCGGCGUGCCUAAUACAUGCAAGUAGAACGCAGUUGCGAACGGGUGAGUAACGCGUAGGUAACUGCCCCAUAGCGGGGGAUAACUAUUGGAAACGAUAGCUAAUACCGCAUACUGUGAGAUGGACCUGCGUUGUAUUAGGUAGUUGGUGAGGUAAAGGCUCACCAAGGCGACGAUCCAUAGCCGACCUGAGAGGGUGGUCGGCCCCACUGUGAUGUGGACACGGCCCAGACUACUACGGGAGGCAGCAGGAGGGAAACGUCGACAAGGGACGGAAAUCUGACCGAGCAACGCCGCGUGAGUGAAGAAGGUUUUCGGAACGUAAAGCUCUGUUGUUAGAGAAGCGGUACCUAACCAGAAAGGGACGGCUAACUACGUGCCAGCAGCCGCGGUAAUUC